ensembl:lncRNA
AUGCUGGCAAACUAUUUGAAGCGUAAUCUGAGUUACUUGUUUUGCUCAUCUCACUUAACUGAGCUAGGUGCUAAAGAACAUAAAUGUGUGUCCAUUGCAAGUAGCUGUUGCAUUAUUAUUUCUGCUUACUGCUAUUUUAGUAGCAGUGUUAGCAUUAGCAACAUUACAGUAGGGGUGGGAAGGAAAUGCAGUUGCAACACUACAAUUACCAUUCAAUCAACAAUGUGUGCAAUCAGUCUCUGUUGCAAAUUAAGAGAACCAGUUUCCCCAGAGCUCAAUCCAGGAAUCUGUAUAUCUGAAUACAACAUGGUGGUUGUGCUUGUCGACCAUUGCAAUCACACAGACUAUGGACAUUGCUAUGGACUUUAAAAGAGCUAGGUGGUACGUAGGUCUCUUGACAUUGUUAUUGGUCCCUACAACUUAAGCACAAAAAGGGAAGUCAACCAGCCCUUUCUUCUCAGGUCACUUACCCUCUUUCCUGGUUGUGUUCAUCUAAACUGGAAAUAUAUUGUGUUCCUGUAUCUUAAAAAAACAUUUGAAGCUGAACAGAGAACUUCAAAAUAUAUAUGGCACACUCUUUGGCAAAAGGAGGUUUCUUUUUGUUGUUCAAAAUAGACCCAUUCCAAUCAGCUGAACAAGAUAAGUGAAUAUGAAGUUACUUAAACUUCUAGGUGUAGUGUUAAAAACCUAGAAACCCCUAAUCCUAGCAGUUUCAAAGAUCUGGAACAUCCAUUGGGUUCUACGUUUGUGCAUUCCUCCUGGUGGCAUUUGAAGGGGCAGCGGCUAAAGAACAUGGCUUCCUUUAUGUGGCUGUGUUUUGACGUAAGGAUCUCAGUGCUAAAUGUCCUUUCAGAUGGGAAGCCUUUGCAGUUAGUGUAACACCAAUUGCUUUGUUGAAACAAAACUCAGCUCUUUUGUUUUAUUCUAGAACAAUAGAAUUCAUCCCUGGCCUUCUAAUGACUUGAGAGUGUUUCUUCCAACAGUCUGCAUGUUUGAAUAGUCUGCACUGCUAGAUCAGUCGCAGUAUUAAUCAACAUCAUCCAUCAUUGUUCUCUGCUUUCAUCACUCUUUUCUGACCACACCUGCUAUCUUGUCUUGCUUUCUUAAAUGUAGUUGUCAUCCUCACAGCUAUUUCCUUGGUGGUGUGGGCCUGAUCCUGUUUAAUGUCCAAAGUGAGAGAGCUGGGUGUUAGGAUGCUAAAAGGCCCUGAACAUGCUCACUCCAAAUUGGUAUUGUUGUCUAUAUUUAUGACAUUCCUCUUUAUAUCCCCUUGUUUUGACACACUUGGAGGCCUCAAAGUUCUACAGGGCUCCUCUUCUUAGGGUGUAUUUUCUGAGUGUGGUACUUUUAAAUGAUGAAGAAAAGGGGGAAAGCCCAGUACAUCCCCCUCAUAAUGUACCACUUUCAAUAGUUCUGUCCUCCGGUAACAGUGUGUCUGGCUGUUUUUGUUUCUGUUUUCUUAUUACUUUAAGUAUUUAUUUUCUGGAAAACCGGUGGAAUUUGUUGUCAGUUCUUUCAAAGAUUAAGUGGUGCUUCUAGUGAUGUUUCUAUUAACAGCAUUGGCCAUUGUGUGUGUGUGUGUAUGUGUGUGCGUACCCAUACAAGUAAAACAUUUUUUGAGAGGCUACAGCCCCUGAAUGGUGUAUGUCAAUUAAUACCUUUAUGAUGCUGUAACUCUGUCGCUGUAGGAAUCCUGGGCAAUUAUUGCACUGUUAUUUUGGAACUGCUGCUUAAAAAUUGGGAAAAAAAGGUGAGCAAACAUUUUCCUCUUGGAGAAUUUUAAAUAUAACUUUUGUGUAUUGUCAUGUAAAAUAAAUAUGCUAAAUGGAACUUAAUCUGACUUUUU